GGAAAAGAUUGAGCUCUUCAUUAACCUUGACCCAGAAUCCUGCAGAUCUCAAAGGCAGCUACUCAAGGCCUCCAUACCGUAGACAAUUCAAUGGAAGGGUGGAAGACAAAAUAAACAGAUGACUGAGGCCAAAAAUAGAACUUCACGUGUAUCUCAAGGCUUUCUUCUUCAGUGUUCUGACAAACUAAAUCAAAAUUCAACAAGCCUUUCAUACGCUAUUGGAGAACAGACCAACAGACAAAUUUGAAAGGACAAAUACUUGAAAGGAAAUAGUGCAUUUCAUGCGGGCAACUAUGGCUAUGGUCCACCCGAACCCAAGGUAAAUAUUGACAUCAGCCAACUCAUGUUGACCAACACCCACUUUCAUUGCCUAACACCCAGCAUAUGUUCAGGAAGUCGGCAGCUCCAUGUUUAGCCAACCACAGCCAACAGUUGCUAUUUGGUUAACACUGACAUUAUCUGGCAAAUAUUUGGGACAGACCCUUGCCCCGUUAUCAUUUCAGUUCUCAGAUGACUGCUUCAUACUGAGGCUGCUGACCACUGCGUGGACCUGCAUUGAGACACCCUUCUUCUUGCCUUGCUCCCCUAACUGUUAGACCCCCCACCAAGAGAUUAGUCAACUUCUCUCCUCAUUUUAUAAAAGGAAAGCAACCAAGGCCGGAGAAGGAUUGAUGGCUUACCCCAAAUCACAGACAAAGCUGACAUUACUGAGAAAGCCAGCCAGAGCCUGAGGAUCGGUCAGUGAUCAAAAAAUGAAAGACGUUACAUAUGGCCCAACCAAGGAUGGAAACAUGUCCCCCAGCUCUUAAGCAGUGCCUGGACCAGGUGAAGGAGUACAAAGCAUGUAUGAGACAGGGAGUCUCCUGUUUAGGAGCUCUUUCUUCUCCUUCCCCCUCUUCUUUUCCAAAACCUAGAAAGCUGACUACCAGUCAGACCAUAGAGCAAAACACUGUGGUAAAAGCAUGGAUUCCAAUAAUCCAAGCCAAGGUGGCACAAAUUAUAUUAUAGACUCCCCAUGUUGUCACACAGACAUGCAAAGAUGGCAAGAAACAUAAAACAGACGUACAGAAACUGUAUGUUUCUUUUUUAGGGAGUUAAAGGGUUGUUUUCCUUUGAAACUGUCAGGUUUCUUUCCCCUUCAUCCUCAUUAGCCUCCUGGGACACUCUUAAACAUACCCAGAAAACAAGAGAGCAGAGGGAAUGAGGUAUUUUUAGCUGAUAUUCCGGGCACACAUUCCUAUUGUUCCACAAUUUUUGGCUUGGCUGGAUGGCACGUGGCCAAUACAAUGUAUACUCUGACAAAGACUGUAUGCUUCCUGGGUUCUAUGAGUGGGAGAGAGAGAGAGACAGAGACAUAGAAAGAGUGUGUGUGUGUGUGUGUGUGUGCGCGCGCACGCGCGCGCGGGAGUGAUAAAAGUAAGAAGGACAAGGACAUUAUUGAUGAUGUUUUGAUGGGAAAGAUUCUGAGAUCCCAGCAGGGGGCAACACUGAGCUCUCUAUGAAUUCUGUUUGCUUUUGUCACCUUCACUUUUCAUGACUACCACUGUGCCAUACAUCCAGGAAAAAAAAAAAAAAGAAACAGACAUACUGUCACAGCCCAAGA